AAUGAACGCUGGCGGCAGGCCUAACACAUGCAAGUCGAACGAGGUAGCAAUACCUAGAGGCGGACGGGUGAGUAACGCGUGGGAACGUGCCCCUUGGUACGGAAUAGCCCUGGGAAACUGGGAGUAAUACCGUAUGUGGUCGAGAGACGAAAGAUUUAUCGCCAAGGGAUCGGCCCGCGUUGGAUUAGGUAGUUGGUGGGGUAAUGGCCUACCAAGCCGACGAUCCAUAGCUGGUUUGAGAGGAUGAUCAGCCACACUGGGACUGAGACACGGCCCAGACUCCUACGGGAGGCAGCAGUGGGGAAUCUUAGACAAUGGGGGAAACCCUGAUCUAGCCAUGCCGCGUGAUCGAUGAAGGCCUUAGGGUUGUAAAGAUCUUUCAGUGGGGAAGAUAAUGACGGUACCCACAGAAGAAGCCCCGGCUAACUCCGUGCCAGCAGCCGCCGUAA
rnacentral:rRNA from 1 species